CUCUUAGGUACAGAUCUGAGAGUGAAGAAGAGGACAGAGAGCUGGCUUAUGCCAUUAAGGUGGCUGAGCCUGAGUCCCCCCAGGGGAAGACCUGUUCUUGUCCAGACCCUGUUUUUGUUUUUUUUUUAAGAUACAACGGAAAUGCUAUCUGGAUGACAGUGGUGGACCCGAUUCCCGCACCCAGUUCUCCCGAAUCAGAUCUACUUGAAGGGGAGCAAGGAGCAGAAGGCAACACGAGGCAGCUGCGAGAAUUAAUUCACCGCGAGAGUUGACAUUUUCGAGCUGACUGACUCUUAGAGAAAAUGAUGUCACCCUCCAGCAGCCUAAUGACAGUCAUCAGCCCGGGAGGACACACGCUAAUAAGGUUCAUUGCUCACCUGCUUUUCUUUUUGGUUUAG
rnacentral:lncRNA from 1 species